UACGAAGGGGGCUAGCGUUGCUCGGAAUUACUGGGCGUAAAGGGCGCGUAGGCGGCACUGUUAGUCAGGCGUGAAAGUCCUGGGCUCAACCUGGGAACUGCGCUUGAUACGGCAGAGCUAGAGGAUGGAAGAGGGUCGCGGAAUUCCCAGUGUAGAGGUGAAAUUCGUAGAUAUUGGGAAGAACACCGGUGGCGAAGGCGGCUACCUGGACCGGUUCUGACGCUGAGGCGCGAAAGCGUGGGUAGCAAACAGG
rnacentral:rRNA from 1 species